GACGAACGCUGGCGGCGUGCUUAACACAUGCAAGUCGAACGGAAAGGCCCUGCUUUUGUGGGGUUCUCGAUUGGCGAACAGGGGAGUAACACGUGAGUAACCUGCCCUUGACUUUGGGAUAACUUCAGGAGACUGGGGCUAAUACCGGAUAGGAGCUCUUGCUGCAUGGGGGUGGUUGGAAAGUUUCGGCGGUUGGGUAUGGACUCGCGGCUUAUCAGCUUGUUUGUGGGGUAGUGGCUUACCAAGGCUUUGACGGGUAGCCGGCCUGGGAGGGUGACCGGCCACAAUGGGACUGCGAUACGGCCCAGACUCCUACGGGACGCAGUAGUGGGGAAUAUUGCACAAUGGGCGGAAGCCUGAUGCAGAAACGCCGCGUGCGGGAUGACGGCCUUCGGGUUGUAAACCGCUUUCGCCUGUGACGAAGCGUGAGUGACGGUAAUGGGUAAAGAAGCACCGGCUAACUACGUG
rnacentral:rRNA from 1 species